rnacentral:rRNA from 1 species
CGGCGGACGGGUGAGUAACACGUGGAUAACCUACCUAUAAGACUGGGAUAACUUCGGGAAACCGGAGCUAAUACCGGAUAAUAUAUUGAACCGCAUGGUUCAAUAGUGAAAGACGGUUUUGCUGUCACUUAUAGAUGGGUCCGCGCCGCAUUAGCUAGUUGGUAAGGUAACGGCUUACCAAGGCAACGAUGCGUAGCCGACCUGAGAGGGUGAUCGGCAACACUGGAACUGAGACACGGUCAAG